CUGCAUAUCAUUUACACUUAAUUCCUACUCUUUUCAUUUAUGCAUCUCACUUCAGAGUUUAACAUGUUUUAUAUCAGGAUAAAUUGUCUAAACCGGUGUUUUACAGCCAUUACUAGCUGUAAUUAAUUUCUCAUAAAUCUCAUUUUACUAGAAUAAUGUUGCUGUAAUGUAGUACUUAGCGUUAUCUAAAAGAUCUCGUUUAUUUGGAUUAGAGAAAUAGCAUUUUCUGUAUAUGAACUUUUAUUAUUUUUUUUUUCUGCAGUAGUUUAAGUGUUAAAGCCUGAAAGGGUUUAGAAAGCUGCAGUGAAUGUGUUAAGACUGUUAAUGAAGUCUCUGAAUCUAAGGACAAAAUUAGCUCUCACACCCACACUGCGCAAAGUACAGCAACUGUCUGAGAGAAUUGCAUCAUGACUUUUACCUGGGGACACUGGUAUUAUAUUCACUUGAAAUUAUGAAAUUGGGAAGACAGAUGUCCCCAAAGGACACUUUAAGGAGCUUGUACUUACAUAAAUUGUUUGACAAAAAUCCCUGAAAUUUGAGUAUGAGACCUAUGUAAAAAUGCUUAUUGAGUGUGAUACAUUCUAUUGUGUAAUACUUGCUUUUAAGAGUGUACAAGCAUAUACUUUUGAUACAGAAUAACCUGAGAAAGGAAGAGUGAAAAUAACUUUUGAAAACAAGGACUUGGAACUACUUAAUUUCAUUAGAGGGAAGGAUAGGUGUGCUUAUGAGUUUCUGAUUCAGCAGAAUCAAAUGCUGGGAACAACAAAGGGGCGGCCACUUCUUUCUUUCAUUUUAUUGAGCGGGAAGGAUGCCUGUGGCAGUAGUAAUGGAGAAGCAGCAGCUCUGGGAUCCAGAAUAUCUUAUUCUUCUCAUCUCUCAACCCACACAAGUUCCUUCUUUCAGGUGUAGCAGAGUCAUUGGGGCCCAGUAGAUCUGUAAAGAACAAGGCCAGGAUUGCCAUUCCCUUGGCAUUGUGCCACUAGUCCCCUGCUCCUGAUUUCAUCUACUCCUUCCUGAUUUUAUCUGUUCAUUUAAACUGAAGAGCACUUGGCAUUAUCCAGCAAUGUAGGCUGUCAGAGAGCACUGCAUAAGGCAGAGGGAACAGGGAAGAAAUAAAAAUAUCCUAGAUAGGUGUACAUAAUGGGAAUGGAUAUAACUGAUAGCAUAAAAGCAUUAAGUAAAAUUGCUAAUUACAAGAACAAAAUUAUAAUUGCAAAUGUAUUUGAACUGUAGAUUUUUGCAGUAGUUUAAAUGUUUUUUCUUCAUCCACUUUGCCCAGAAAUAUAGGAAGUAUCUGCAGAUCGAAUGUUUCCCUGCAAUACAGAAGUACUCUUUGUCUAGCAGAAGCUGACAAAUAAACAGACGUUAUAAACCCAUUUUUUUUACCUUUUUUUAACGGGAAACUUACAAGAAUGGGAGUCUUAAUUGAGAAGGUAGUAAUUGAGAAGCGCCUUAGUAGAGAUUAAAAAAAAAAAGUAUUUGUUAUAAGUGGUGUCCCUGUUCAAGAAUGCUUGCUCCUCUUAAGAAAAAAAAAUAUCCAGUCAAAGGCAUCUUACAGAUAUAAGACAAGCUUUCCAAGACAAAGUGUAAUUUCUUGAUAGUGGGCUACUAAGUGUAGUGAUGACUGGAAGAAAGCACAUCAUAAGGAAGAGUUUAGUUAUUUCUUCAGAAUGUGUGCUGAAUCCAAUAGCAAAGAACUAAACAUUUCCGUAUUAUGUCUACUUCUAUCUCUCCAACUUCCACAGUACUAUGCAGCAGUGAAAAACCCACUGGCUGCUUCCUCUUGGAGGAAAACAUGUUGCUUUUAAUAAAAAGGAGGAGAUGUAUUUCAUGUCUGUUGUUCAAUUAUAUUUCUUACAGGGAUAUUUUUACAGGUAUCAAGAUAACACUUGUCCUUCACUUUAUUAAGGUGAAUGUUAUUAAAACUAUAUAACCCAUCAUUGCAAAAUGGAAUUUUUAGACCUGAUUCUUGUAGCUGGUCUUAGAACCCUUUAUAAAAAUACAAGAACUUGGAUCUACUGAAUGCCAUCUUUUUGCAUUCAUCAAAAUUUAGAGUGGUUUUUUGUCAUGGCAUAAUAUAAGGACAUCAAAGUUUAGAAGUUUAUUUUGGAAGAAUUUUAGAAAGGAGGAGUCUAGUCCAUGUGAGAAUUAAAAUUCUUAUAUUCUUAUCAACUUAUUCAAAGUUGAUAAAUUAUUAUACUGAUAUCAUAACUUUUUUAGAUGAAGAUAGAUAUUUUAUAGACAUGUCAAGAAGGUGAAAAUCUUUAGAGAUUCAUUUUACAGCUGUGGGUUAAGACGCACACACACACACACGCGCGCGCGCACACACACGCAAAAUCCUAGGGCUGUUACCAAAUAUGAGAAAGUAGUUGACUGUGAUACUGAAUUCAAUUUUGAGUAGGACUCUUUAACAAGGAAAAUUGAGAAAAAGCAUUUAUAAUUAGGCAAUACAUUAAAAAUCCUGUAAAAGAAUUAUUGCUAAAGAGCAAGAAAUUAAAUAACAUUAAAAUGGCUGGAAAUAUGCAUACAGAUCACACAAGAAGAUGCAUAUAUUUAUUCCUUAAUUACUAUUUAUUCAACAUUUGGUAUAGAUUAGAACUUUUGGUGUUUACCUUUGGAUUUCUGUGGUGAAGAUGGUAUUUCAUCUAUGUUGUUUGGUGUUAACCACAUUUCCAUAAAACUAUAGUGUCCUAUAGCUUGUAUCUGUCAUCCUACUAGUGGACAUACAGAUUCAUUUAUAGAUAAAUCUAUUUUUACUUUGUGUAGAGCAUAAGCUACAUUCCUUACCAGUUGAGAAUUAUCAGAUCAAUACUUAGAAAGGAAGCCUCUACUACGACAUUGCUGGUUACUUUUGAAAUACCACUGGCUAUGAAGGAAAUCUAAAAUACCAAGAAGGUGGCGGAUGUAGUAUAAAAUAUUUUAUACAGUGUCUAAAGCAUAUGAUACAAUAAAUAUAUAGGAUGUAGCUGCCAAGGCAAAUAAAGGUUGCUAUUUUACUUGAUCCAAAACCCUACAAAAUUUGGGGGAGGGAGUAGGGAGUGGGGAAGGAAUCAACAUAGUAAUUUUGGAUUUUUGCAAAAGGUUGGCUGUUGCCUUGCUAAGCCUUACUUGCGAAAUUAAUUCAAAUUGGCUUGGAUAAGCGCACUGUCAUGUGGAUUAAAAGCUGGCUGAAAGACUACAAACAAAGGGUGUCUUGAGGGUACCACAGGGAUCACUGCUAGAACUAGUCAUUUUUGACAUCUUUCUUAGCGAUCUGGGAAAGAGUGUUAACCACAUGCUAAUAAAAUUAGCAUGUGACACUAAAUUGUGAGGGGAUAGAAAUACUUGAAAGUUUAAAGAAAAAAAA
ensembl:lncRNA